rnacentral:rRNA from 1 species
AUUGAACGCUGGCGGCAAGCCUAACACAUGCAAGUCGAACGAGUGGCGGACGGGUGAGUAAUGUCUGGGAAACUGCCUGAUGGAGGGGGAUAACUACUGGAAACGGUAGCUAAUACCGCAUACCAUCGGAUGUGCCCAGAGGGGAUUAGCUAGUAGGUGGGGUAAAGGCUCACCUAGGCGACGAUCCCUAGCUGGUCUGAGAGGAUGACCGGCAACACUGUAACGGAGACACGGUCCAGACUCCUACGGGAGGCAGCAGUGGGGAAUAUUGCACAAGGGGCGCAAGCCUGAUGCAGCCAUGCCGUGUGUAUGAAGAAGGCCUUCGGGUUGUAAAGUACUUUCAGCGGGGAGGCGUGACCCGCAGAAGAAGCACCGGCUAACCCCGUGCCAGCAGCCGCGGAAAUAC